UAAGCCACUGGGUCUGGGACUCAAACCUUGGUCGACUACAUGGGAGUCCAGCGACACAGCCAGAGAAAUUACUCUCUACAAUGAGCUUGGCAUGGGAUAUAGGGUAAGUUUGUUUGUUUUCUUUUUUGUUUGUUUUUGGUAUUGCUGCUGUCUCUUGUUUUGCUUUUUUUUAAGUUUAUUUUUUCAGAGAGACAGAGACAGGGAGAGGGGAAGGAGAGAGAAAGUGACUGGCAGAUGCAACAGGGUUUUCAUGGCAGGAUGCUGCCUCCCCACACCCCACCUCAGCCAGCCCGACUAGACAUGCGCGUGCCUGCUGUGUACGGGGACGUCUCAGGACCCAAACCAGGGUCUUCCCAUGGGGCUCCAGCACCACUGCACUCUCUCGGCCGGCCCACGGUUGUCUGGUUUUGUGUUUAAUCGAACAUUUGCCGAUAACGCUUUGCACUUUUUGUCUAGAGUGAGGAGGUUCGUUCUCUCUUCCACUGGAAAAGUAGCAGGACCCUUGGAGGUAUGCGCAGUGAAUUUUAAAGACUCAUCUGCAACCAGUAAGGAAAGAAUCUAAAGCUUGGCAGGCUAGAGACCAGAUGUAAAGAAACUUUCUAGUUCCGCCACGGACAAACAAGCGUCUCCAUGAAGUAGCACGUCCCCAGACUCGGAGAUGGCAUGCACCGACUUCAAUGGAACGAGACUCAGAAAAUGGCCUUGGUUUGAGAAGUGCAAGUCGACACGUGACAUGGGAGGAGCUGCACGGUUUCUGCGGAGUGGCAGCCAAGAUGUGAGCACGUAUGUGGACGCGGUUUUCCUGGGACCACCGUGCUUUCCUUUCCUUCCUCACUCCCCCUGCGUGCAGAGACGGUGCCUACACUCCACCCAGGGCUCUUCUGCCGGGAGGCGCGGUGUUCUCCCGCACGCGGAGCUGGCUGGUCGCUCUCUCCUGGAGGAUGAGGAAUCCCUACUGCCCUCCUGCCCGCCUCACUGGCCUCUCUGCCAUGAACCAAGCUCAUCUCAGGUUCCUGAGCAUGGGGAUGGCCUAUUCUGAUUUCUCUUCUUCAAUAAAUAGAAGCCACCCUUAAAUGUUGA